rnacentral:rRNA from 1 species
AUUGAACGCUGGCGGCAGGCCUAACACAUGCAAGUCGAGCGGUAGAGAGGUGCUUGCAUCUCUUGAGAGCGGCGGACGGGUGGGUAAUGCCUAGGAAUCUGCCUAGUGGUGGGGAUAACGUUCGGAAACGGACGCUAAUACCGCAUACGUCCUACGGGAGAAAGCGGGGGAUCUUCGGACCUCGCGCCAUUAGAUGAGCCUAGGUCGGAUUAGCUAGUUGGUGAGGUAAUGGCUCACCAAGGCGACGAUCUGUAGCUGGUCUGAGAGGACGACCAGCCACACUGGGACUGAGACACGGCCCAGACUCCUACGGGAGGCAGCAGUGGGGAAUUUUGGACAAUGGGCGCAAGCCUGAUCCAGCAAUGCCGCGUGCAGGAUGAAGGCCUUGGUUGUAACUAGCUUUGUACGGACGAAACGGUAGAGCUCUAAUAC